UGGUCUGAGAGGAUGAUCACCCACAAUGGGACUGAGACACGGCCCAUACUCCUACGGGAGGCAGCAGUGGGGAAUUUUGUGCAAUGGGGGAAACCCUGACACAGCGACACCGCGUGAGCGAAGAAGCCCUUUGGGGUGUAAAGCUCCGUCAGCUGGAACGAAAAAAAUGACGGUACCAGCAGAGGAAGCAUCGGCUAACUACGUGCCAGCAGCCGCGGUAAGACGUAGGAUGCGAGCGUUGUCCGGAUUUAUUGGGCGUAAAGAGUUCGUAGGUGGUUUGUUAAGUCUGAUGUUAAAGAUCGGGGCUCAACCCCGGGAGUGCAUUGGAUACUGGCAGACUGGAGUGUAGUAGAGGCAAGCGGAAUUCCCAGUGUAGCGGUGAAAUGCGUAGAUAUUGGGAAGAACACCAGUGGCGUAAGCGGCUUGCUGGGCUAUAACUGACACUGAGGAACGAAAGCCAGGGGAGCGAAUGGGAUUAGAUACCCCAGUAGUCCUGGCCGUAAACGAUGGAUACUAGGCGUAGCGGGUAUCGACCCCUGCUGUGCCGCAGCAAACGCGAUAAGUAUCC
rnacentral:rRNA from 1 species